CGGACGGGUGAGUAACACGUUGAUAACCUACCUAUAAGACUGGGAUAACUUCGGGAAACCGGAGCUAAUACCGGAUAAUAUAUUGAACCGCAUGGUUCAAUGGUGAAAGACGGUUUUGCUGUCACUUAUAGAUGGAUCCGCGCCGCAUUAGCUAGUUGGUAAGGUAACGGCUUACCAAGGCAACGAUGCGUAGCCGACCUGAGAGGGUGAUCGGCCACACUGGAACUGAGACACGGUCCAGACUCCUACGGGAGCAGCAGCC
rnacentral:rRNA from 1 species